AGUACUAAACAACAACAGAAAUGCCUUCUCGAACAUGUGAGCUUUCAUGUUUAUAACAAACUUUUAUGCCAUCUGUAAAUACAAAUAAAGUUGUUAAAUUACGAGCCUAGUUGAUUUAGCCAAAGAAAAAUAUGAUUGGCUGAGAUAAUGAGUGGGCUGGACAUGCCAAGAGAUGAGUUUCAGAUUGGUCUGCGGUGUAGCAUUUUGUGUCUAUAAAAUAAGCUGCUCGUUAUGCGUAGAUAUACUGUUAGCCUUGGAGAACUGCAAAUAUGUUGCUACUGCUCUCAAUAACAUUGCUUCCUUGAAUGGAAAUGACACAGGACGUCUUAUUUAAUGGAAGGGGUUGCAGUCUGCCAUGAAGCAUUCAUCCAUGUAUACUGCAUCAGUAGAACACGCCUGACUCUCCUCCACCAGUCAUACAAGGAAAAUGGUCUAAUGCCUCCCAUCAAAAAGAGAGCUGGCCAAAGCAAGCACAGGUUACACCUGAAACGUGAAGACUUGAGCAAGUGGUGAACUUCAUCAACAACUAUGCAGAGAAUAAUGCAAUAGUAUUACCAGGACGCCACCCAGGACACAAACACUUUGGUAGAAAGCUGCUGCCAUCCCAUGUGACAAAAGCAGCAAGGAAUCGAUAACAACACUUGAGGUAUGUGUAGUCGGGCGGUCUUCCUUCAGGAAUCUGUGGAGAAAAUUGCUGUCCCACAUCUCAAGCACUAAGCCCAGGACCAACCUGUGCUGGCAGUGCCAGAGGAACAACUAUCAAGUAUUCAGAUCUGCCAGAAGCUGUUAAGUCAGCCAAGCUGAAUAAUACAUUUUUAUAUUUAACCUUUAUUUAACUAGGUAAGUCAGUUAAGAACAAAUUCUUAUUUACAAUGAUGGCCUACACCUGGGCCAA